rnacentral:rRNA from 1 species
UACAGAGGGGGCAAGCGUUAUUCGGAAUUAUUGGGCGUAAAGGGCGCGUAGGCGGCCUGGCAAGUGGAAGGUGAAAUCCCUCGGCUUAACCGAGGAACUGCCUCCCAAACUGCUUGGCUUGAGACCGGGAGAGGUGAGUGGAAUUCCCAGUGUAGCGGUGAAAUGCGUAGAUAUUGGGAGGAACACCAGUGGCGAAGGCGGCUCACUGGACCGGUACUGACGCUGAGGGACGAAAGCUAGGGGAGCGAAUGGG